rnacentral:rRNA from 1 species
UACGGGGGGAGCAAGCGUUGUUCGGAUUUACUGGGCGUAAAGGGCGGGUAGGCGGCCACCGCAAGUCAGUUGUGAAAUCUCUGGGCUUAACCCAGAAAGGUCAACUGAUACUGCGGGGCUAGAGUGCAGAAGGGGCAACUGGAAUUCUCGGUGUAGCGGUGAAAUGCGUAGAUAUCGAGAGGAACACCUGCGGCGAAGGCGGGUUGCUGGGCCGACACGUGACGCUGAUGCGCGAAAGCCAGGGGAGCGAACGGG